rnacentral:rRNA from 1 species
UACGUAGGGUGCAAGCGUUAAUCGGAAUUACUGGGCGUAAAGCGUGCGCAGGCGGUUAUGUAAGACAGUUGUGAAAUCCCCGGGCUUAACCUGGGAAUGGCAUUUGUGACUGCAUCGCUGGAGUACGGCAGAGGGGGAUGGAAUUCCGCGUGUAGCAGUGAAAUGCGUAGAUAUGCGGAGGAACACCGAUGGCGAAGGCAAUCCCCUGGGCCUGUACUGACGCUCAUGCACGAAAGCGUGGGGAGCAAACAGG